GUGGGAAUACGGGGGGACCAUCCUCCAAGCCUAAAUACUACUCGGUGACCGAUAGUGAAGAAGUACUGUGAAGGAAAGGUGAAAAGUACCCCUGACGGGGAGUGAAAAAGAACCUGAAACCUUGUGCCUACAAGCACAUAGAGCACAUCAACGUGUGAUAUGGUACUUUUUGUAGAACGGUCCGGCGAGCGAUUGUAUGCAGCAAGGUUAAGGACUUAAGGUCUGGAGCCGAAGCGAAAGCGAGUUUGAAAAGGGCGUUAAGUUGCAUAUAAUGGGCCCGAAACCGGGUGACCUACCCAUGGUCAGGUUGAAGUGGAAGUAAAAUUCCAUGGAGGACCGAACCGACCUCCGUUGAAAAGGCGGCGGAUGAACUGUGGGUAGCGGAGAAAUUCCAAUCGAACCCGGAGAUAGCUGGUUCUCUCCGAAAUAGCUUUAGGGCUAGCCUUGAAAUAGAUUACCGGAGGUAAAGCACUGAAUUGGCUAGGGGCCGAGAGGUUACUGAACCUUAUCAAACUAAGAAUGCCGGAUAAUCGUUUUUCAGGAGUCAGACAGUGGGAGAUAAGUUUCAUUGUCAAAAGGGAAACAGCCCAGACCCACAGCUAAGGUCCCCAAGUAUAGUUAAGUGGAAAAGGAUGUGGAAUUGCACAGACAACCAGGAUGUUGGCUUAGAAGCAGCCACUCAUUAAAAGAGUGCGUAAUAGCUCACUGGUCGAGUGACUCUGCGCCGAAAAUUUAACGGGGCUAAACUAUACACCGAAGCUUGGGAUACAUCUAAUGUAUGGUAGGAGAGCGUUCUGUAUGGGGAGAAGUCGUAGCGAAAGCGGCGGUGGACUAUACAGAAGUGAGAAUGCCGGAAUAAGUAGCGAGAAUUAAGUGAGAAUCUUAAUGGCCGAAAGUCUAAGGUUUUUGGAGGAAGGUUCGUCCGCUCCAAGUAAGUCGGGAGCUAAGGUCAGGCCGAAAGGCGUAGCCGAUGCACAUACGGUUGAUAUUCCGUAACCAUCUGUAAUUUAAGCAAAGGGACACUUCAAAAGGGUGUGACCCGGGCGUUGGUUGACCCGGGCGUAAGGGACCGAAAUUAGAGUAGGGAAGCACACUUGGCUGAAGGCGAGAAAAGCUUUGCGUAUAGAAGCAGAUGCCCGUACCGCAAACCGACACAGGUGGACAGGAAGAGAAUUCUAAGGCCAGCGGGAGAAGGGUAGUUAAGGAACUCGGCAAAUUGACUCCGUAACUUCGGAAUAAGGAGUGCUCGAAAGAGCCGCAGAGAAUAGGCCCAGGCGACUGUUUAGCAAAAACACAGGUCUCUGCCAAAUCGAAAGAUGAAGUAUAGGGGCUGACACCUGCCCGGUGCUGGAAGGUUAAGAGGAGAUGUGCAAGCAUUGAAUUGAAGCCCCAGUAAACGGCGGCCGUAACUAUAACGGUCCUAAGGUAGCGAAAUUCCUUGUCGGGUAAGUUCCGACCCGCACGAAUGGUGUAACGAUCUGGGCACUGUCUCAACUACCCGCCCGGCGAAAUUGUAGUACCGGUGAAGAUGCCGGUUACCCGCGACAAGAC
rnacentral:rRNA from 1 species